rnacentral:lncRNA from 1 species
AAGGUAUUUUUUAAAAGAUCAAAUCAUGAGAUUUAUGGAUCAGAGUGAAUAAUACCUUACAUAACGAAUGUGAGCCUCCUUGAAAACUAAAGGCCAACAUGAUGGCAAAAUUUUUUUCCCAAUGUGGAUUCAAAACCUUUUCACCUCCAGUUUAGUGGCAAACAAGUUUGCCACCAAAGAAAACACUUAUGCUUGCAGGGGGGAGAG